UACGUAGGGUGCGAGCGUUGUCCGGAAUUAUUGGGCGUAAAGAGCUUGUAGGCGGUUUGUCGCGUCUGCUGUGAAAAUCCGGGGCUCAACCCCGGACUUGCAGUGGGUACGGGCAGACUAGAGUGUGGUAGGGGAGACUGGAAUUCCUGGUGUAGCGGUGAAAUGCGCAGAUAUCAGGAGGAACACCGAUGGCGAAGGCAGGUCUCUGGGCCAUAACUGACGCUGAGAAGCGAAAGCGUGGGGAGCGAACAGGAUUAGAUACCCUGGUAGUCCACGCCGUAAACGUUGGGAACUAGGUGUGGGUCUCAUUCCACGAGAUCCGUGCCGCAGCUAACGCAUUAAGUUCCCCGCCUGGGGAGUACGGCCGCAAGGCUAAA
rnacentral:rRNA from 1 species